rnacentral:lncRNA from 1 species
UAGAAGAUGAAUGUCCUACCUUUAGACCCACCUUAACAGUCUUAGGGCCGUGGACACCACCCACUCUUCUUUCCAAGCUGGGCUCCCCCCCCACCCCGUCACGCCCAGCAUUGAGGCAUAAUACAAGGUGGAUUGGAUGUUGGAGUUCUCUUGUGGCUCAGCAGAUUAAGGAUCCAGCCUGUGCCUUGGAUCCAGUGCUCUGGCUUGGCUCACUGCUGUGCCGCAGGUUCAAUCCCUGGCCGGAAACUUCCGUAUACUGCGGGAAUGGCUGGAAUGCGGUGGAGUAAAAAGAAAAAAAAAAAGAGCAUUGGAAGCUGUUUGAAAUGGUUUCCUUCUUAUUUAGUGACUUUUAACAAUUUUGACCUGAUACCCAGCAUUGGGUGAUUAGGGGCCAGAGCAAAACUGAAUAAGAGGAGUUUUUCCUCCAAGUUCCUGGUUCCUGUUCCUCUUUCUCAGUCCUGCCUUCUCCUUCCACCUCAUCCCUCUUUCAAGACCUCCUCCAUUCUGGUUCCUAAGCUCUCCUCUCUGUCUCUGCUGCUUCAUCUAGAAAAAGGAGAAUAUUAUUUGUACUAAAGUAGCAGUUCUCAAACUUUCUGGUCUCAGACCCUUUUACCUUCUUAAAAGUGGAAAAUUCCAAAGAGCUUUUGCUUAUACUUUGUUAUUUUGAUACUUAACCAUAUUAUAAAUCAAAAAGAAGUUUUUAAAACAGGAAUACGCAAACCCACAUUCCACUAGCUGUGAGAGCAGCAGUGUCAUCACACUUCAUAAAGUCCCUGGAAAACUCCACCAUCUCCUUGUGAGAGAAUGAAUGAAAAGGAUAAAUGAUACCUUAGUGUAUUAUUAUUAUUAUUAUCAUUGUUUUGAUUUUUAGGGCUGCACCCGUGGCAUAUGGGGGUUCCCAGGCUAGGGAUCCAAUCACAGCUACAGCUGCUGGCUACGCCACAGCCACAUCAGAUCUGAGCUGCCUCUGCAACCUACACCACAGCUCAUGGCAACGCCAUAUCCUUAGCCCACAGAGCAAGGCCAGGCAUUGAACCCACAACCUCAUGGUUCCUAGUCAGAUUCAUUUCCGAUGAGCCACGACGGGAACUCCAGCACCUUAGUGUAUUAUUAUGAAAACAGUUUUGACCUCAUGGACUUCCUCAAAGAGUUCAUCCCCAGAUCACACUAGAAGAGUCAUACUGUACUAAAGUAUUAGAGUCCUGUGUAACUUCUUCUCAGGCCAUUACAUUGUUUGGCCUGUGGGGAGAGAGCCGUGCUCACCAAAUCCAUUGGUAAUUGUAGUCCUUAAGGCAGGUACAAGAUGUACCUCCUCAAUGAAACACCACCCUGGGCUCUGACAGCAGAUGGGAGUGGAACUCAUCACACAGACAUGAGAAGGUUGGGGGCUUCUCAGGACAGGGUAAGGGAACUGCGCCACAGCCAGGCAAGAAGAGUGCAGUAAAAAGCCAGGCAGGAAGGGAAGGAAGAGUGUGACAGACGGAUGGGAGACAGGAAUAGGCUGGAGGUAGAGAAAUGGAAGUCUGGUUUAUGGGCCACCUACUGUUUCCUUCCCUCUUUAGCGAGUCGGGCUGGAAGGGAUGGCGGAGUUGGCACUAUGACAUCUUGAAACCUGGCUGGACAUUAUGAGGGAGGUGGUGCCAUGCACGUGUCCGGCAUGCAUUUCUGUCCCUAUGUCUCUCAAUGCUGUAUGUUUCUGAGCGUGUGCAUGCACAUGUGUAUGUGUGUGUUACAGCCACAGGGUUUUCGGGUGUGUCUCUGUUUCAAUUCGGACUAAGCCUUUUGUGUCUUUACUAAGCUCUGCCGAUGGUGAUUUACAGGGGUAAAAUGACCCCUGGUGGCCAAACGGAGAACUGACCCAGAUUCCUCAGUGAUGGUGGUGAAGUCUUCCCUCCUCCUGCCGGCUGGAGGUUAGAGCCCUCAACUGUAGGAGAGGCCUGGUGGUUAGCACCUGCUCCAUCUUGCUCCAUCCUUAGGGUUCAGGACCCUCGGCAUUCCAACCCUGGGAGCACCAAGAGUCGUCAUUAUCCAAAGUCUCAGCAUGUUGCCCUAUCCAAACGGAACAGAACACAAUUUUUUAAAACUGCUUGAAUGUACAUAUAUAUAUAUAUGUAUGUGUAUGUAUAUAUGUAUAUGUGUAUAUAUAUAUAUAUAUAUAUAUAUAUAUAUAUAUAUAGUCCUUAUGCCUUUUCUAGGGCUGCUCCUGCAGCUUAUGGAGGUUCCCAGGCUAGGGGUCAAAUCGGAGCUGUAGCCACCAGCCUACGCCAGAGCCACAGCAACGCGGGAUCUGAGCCGCAUCUGGGACCCUCACCACAACUCACGGCAACGCCCGGAUCCUCAACUCACUGAGCAAGGCCAGGGACGGAACCCGCAAGCUCAUGGUUCCUAGUUGGAUUCGUUAAACACUGUGCCACGACGGGAACUCCAAUAAAACUACUUGAAUAUUUUUAUAUGCAGAUAUGUGAAUGAAUUCCAAGGUAAUUAAAACUCACAUGCAAGUGUCUUCUAACACAUUAUAUAAUUUACUUAUUUAUUAUAACUUUUAUAGUUUAUUACCUGUUUCCCCCACACACACACACCACCAGGUAGAAUGUAAGCUCCCUGGGAGCAAGGACUUUGGUUGGUUCUCUGAUAUAUCCUCAGCAUCAAGAACAACGCCUGGUAGAAAAGAAGUGCUUAAUAAAAAGCUGUUGAA